rnacentral:rRNA from 1 species
UAGCGGGAAGGAAAGAACUAAACUAGGAUUCCCUCAGUAAGGGCGACUGAAGCGGGAAGAGCUCGGCCUGUGAAUCGGCGUUGCAAGGCGCUGAGUUGUGAUUAGCCAUUGUUUGUGCCUUUACUUACCAUGUUGUAUGGAAGAAAGACAAGACAAGACCAAGAACAGAACAAUGUAUAAUAUAACAGAACAAAUCAUAAUUACACUUGUAUAAAUCAUUCAAUCUUUGAUUGUAUGAAUGUAUGAAUGUAUGAAUGUAUGAUUAUAUGAUUGUCCCUGUUGUUGUUGUUGUUGUUGUUGUCUGUCCUUGUUGUUGUCUUAUUCUUGUACUGCCAAAUGAAGUCUACUGGAAAGUAGCAGCAUAGAAGGUGACACUCCUGUACAUUUGGCCAUGCAACAGAAAAGCAAACACAUUACGAGUCGAGUUGUUUGGGAUUGCAGCUCCAAGUAGGUGGUAAAUUCCAUCGAAAGCUAAAUACACAUGAGAGACCGAUAGUGAACAAGUACCGUGAGGGAAAGAUGCAAAGAACUUUGAAAAGAGAGUUAAAGAGUACCUGAAAUUGUCAAAGCGGAAGCGAAGGGAACCAGUGCUUGUUUAGCACAACAUACUUCCUUCUCUGCUUGCAGAGCAAGGCGCUGUGUUGUGCCGCAAUGCUAGUGCAUUCGUGUACUAGUUGUUGUUAUCUCAUCACACUUUGUUCAUUUACUACUAUAUUAUAUUAUGUUAUAUUAUAUUAUAUUAUAUUAUAUUAUAUUAUAUUAUAUUAUAUAUAGCCAAGCACACGAUGCACCUGAUUUACCUGUAUAUGAUCAUGUCAUUGACUGGUGUACUCACUUGCUAUGGGCAAUGGACAGAGCCUUUUGUGGUAGCGUAUAUCCUGGCUUUGCCAUUAGAUGCUGCCACACUGUGAUCAAAUGGUUCUCUCU